rnacentral:lncRNA from 1 species
CUACUAUCUGUGUAUCUAAUCUGUUUUGUUUAUCUGUCUAUUCGGUUUGUCUGUGUCUUUGUAAAUUAGGUAAUCUUUCAAUAUGCCAGGCAGCACAUGUAAAACAUGCCCCUCCUGCAAAACCAUUCUGCCUUGCGCUAAAAAGGUUUGCAGCCACUGCAAAAUGGUCCAGCCUGUAAAGGAACGCCUCAAAAUUGCCUUGAGAAAAUUUGAGGCUAAGCGGGAAGAGUGGGCGUCUUCCCGCAAGAAGAACCACAACAUGGCUGUUGUCAAGCAGGAAAUGUUCCUCCUGCUCGAAAAGCUUCAAGCAGCAGGAUAUAAACCUGUCCUGCUGCUUGGAAAAGCCACUAAAAAGAGCCAUGUGGUCAAGGUGUUCACACCUCGUUGCACCUUGGCCACAUUUGCGGAGGAGUCCCUCAAAAAAAUGGGCUCCAUCCAUGAGUACAUUUGUCAAGGAUGGACCCCUUUUGCAAGUGGGACUGCAGAGGGGCCAGAAGAGGGCAGGGGGACCACUCAGGUGAAGACAUACAGGAAUAUCUAUGACAAUUAAAGAGGCUAAUCCUAUAUAUUGUUAUAUACUGCAUAUAUACUCCAAUAUAUUAUGCUACAAAUUACAAUAUACUAAGUCAGCUGUAUAAGUGCUAACCUCUUGUCAUGUUUGUUUAUGGUUAUUUAUGUGUAUAGAUGUGUAUAGAUCUGUAUGGUCUUAAUUUCAUAUUUUUUAAAACUGAAUUUACACUUGCACUGUUGAAGUUCCACUGUUGGACUUUGAGUGAGUGUUAUCUUAUGUCAUCUUAGAUGGACAUGGACAUGGGAGAGGUGGAGGACAGGGCCGUG